rnacentral:rRNA from 1 species
UACGAAGGGUGCGAGCGUUAAUCGGAAUUACUGGGCGUAAAGCGUGCGUAGGUGGCUUGUUAAGUCGAAUGUGAAAGCCCCGGGCUUAACCUGGGAACUGCAUCCGAUACUGGCGAGCUUGGAGUUUGGAAGAGGGUGGUGGAAUUCCCGGUGUAGCGGUGAAAUGCGUAGAGAUCGGGAGGAACAUCAGUGGCGAAGGCGGCCACCUGGUCCAAAACUGACGCUGAUGCACGAAAGCGUGGGGAGCAAACAGGAUUAGAUACCCUGGUAGUCCACGCCCUAAACGAUGCUGACUGGACGUUGGGUGGAAUUAGCCACUUAGUGUCGAAGCUAACGCGUGAAGUCAGCCGCCUGGGGAGUACGGUCGCAAGACUGAA